rnacentral:rRNA from 1 species
CUUGGUCAUUUAGAGGAAGUAAAAAGUCGUAAACAAGGUUUNCGUAGGUGAACCUGCGGGAAGGAUCAUUACCGUGGGGCUUCGGCCCCAUUGAGAUAGCACCCUUUGUUUAUGAGUACCCUUGUUUCCUCGGUGGGCUUGCCCACCAUGAGGACAUUAAAAACCCUUUGUAGUAGCAGUAACUUCAGUUAAUAAUAAAUAUUAAAACUUUCAACAACGGAUCUCUUGGUUCUCGCAUCGAUGAAGAACGCAGCGAAACGCGAUAGGUAAUGUGAAUUGCAGAAUUCAGUGAAUCAUCGAAUCUUUGAACGCACAUUGCGCCUCUUGGUAUUCCGAGGGGCAUGUCUGUUUGAGCGUCAGUACACACCUCCUCCUGGGACUUUUAUCGGUCCCCGGCAGGGUCUUGGGUCGCGGACCGCGCUUCGGUGCGACCGCCCCCUAAUGUGGCACGCUUGCGGGCCCCCGGCCAGAUGUCAACGUAGUAAAUUUAAAAACUCGUUCCCAGCUGUCGAAGGGCCUCGCCUGAUUCAAACUCUUAUGGUUUGACCUCAGAUCAGACAAGGAUACCCGCUGAACUUAAGCAUAUCAAUAAGGGGGAGGA